GGAAGGAUGCUCCAGGCCAGGAGGAACAGGAAGUUUCAACUGGCUGGACCAAACAUUCCCUUGCAUGUCCACUCUAGCAUUACAAGGAAUGUUGUACAUCCCACAAGACCUUUAAGGGCUAUUUUUCUCAUGGGAGCAAAAGAAGGUUGCUUGUUUAUUUUGUGGCAGAAUUGGAAUAAGAGGCAUCCCCUCCUGAGAGGAGGAUGUCUCUGUGAAGGGCAGUGGCCCCUCCUCAGGGGCUGCCGUUGGCAUUUGGGGCAGGUGGGGAGAAGCCCCCUUCCUCUCCCAGUCUUAUGCGGGCAACUGGGAACCUGAGACUGGGAGCCGCCCUUGGCUAAGAAACCUGCCAAAGUUCAGACAAAGAGGUCCAGGGGCUCUCGUUUUAGGGAAGCUUGCCUUUGUUGUCUAAAAAGGGGGGGGGAGUCACAAUUUUUCUUCCCCCAGUGUUUCUGGAAGAGUCAAUGCUAUAGGAACAGUGAUUCUCAAGGUUUCCCACCAGCUAUUCUCUUUUUAAAUAUAAUUUUGUAUCAUUCACUAUUAAAUGUUGAUAGUUUUGUUUUAUAUGUACCGAUUUUAGGGAGCCUGGCAAAGGGGCGAACAAAACCUUUUGCUGCAAUGUCAUCCUGGUGGGGGAUUUGUGGGAGCAGUCAAUGACAGAAGGAAAAUGAAUGAAAAAUGGAAUUAAUUUUUAAAGAAAUUUAAGCAGGGCGACCUUUUGCCCAUCAUAUUAUGAAACCUGCUGGAGUGCCGUGUACAAUAAUAUGUAUUUUUUGAAAGGAAAGAUUUUGUGGAGGGCAGAACACCAAGGUGGAUUGUAGGGACCAACCAGCAGCAACAUUUGGAAUUUGCACCAGCUGCCAUUCUGCUAUCGGGCCAAGUUCAAGGCCUUGGUACUUACACAUAUGGUCCCUAUACAGCUUGGGACCAGGUUCCUUGCAAGAGAGACCAUCUUAUCCCUUUGCUGCCCACAGGGCUGGAUUUAGGUUUGAUGAGGCCCUAAGUUCCAGAAGGGAAUGGGGCCCUUUAUAUGCCCAGCUGUCCUUUGUCAACAACAAAUUGUCCAUUCACAUCAAAAUAAUUUUGAAUUACCAAUAUACAUAAAAUUGAUUAAUUUUAAUAGCUCCAUACACAACACAAAACACUGUUGCUGUAUGUAGGUUUUAUUUUAUUUGUUUUUUAUCUUAUAUUUUGGAAAUGUACAUCCAGGUUGUUUUUUUCCUUUUUUUUUCGGGGGCCCAAGCUAUGUAAAUCUGGCACUGGCUGCCCAGUAGGUGGCUGCAGCUGGCAGGAGGUUUCUCCUGCAAGUUAAAAAAACUCUCCCCUGCCUCUCUCUCUGCCCCUUCUCUCACUCCCAAACUCACAAUGCCUACGACGACAAUGGCUCUCACCAAAAGCAGCUGACCUGUCAAGAAGAGGGCUUUGAGUGUGGCUGCCCUUCUUCUGUGGAGCAGCAUCCCUGUUGAGAUAUGACAGGCAGCCAUGAUCUGCACUUUCUGGAAGCAGCUGAAGACAUUUUUGUUCUGACGGGCUUUCCCAGCUGACUUAGUGGGUCUUUGCUAUGAAAGUUUAUUUUGUAUGCUUUUCAUUUUGUUUUAAAUGUAUCUGCUAGCUGGGGUUUUGUUUGCCCCCUCCCAAACUGUUUUCUUGCAUGUGACCUUGAGGCGCAGAAUGCCCACUGGUUCUCCCUCCCUUUCCUUCCUGCAGGCAUCUUCCAGUGCGGUCCAGCUUCGCUGACGGCCAUCAAGGAAGGAGACGUCGACCUGAACUACGAUUGCCCGUUCGUCUAUGCAGAGGUCAAUGCCGACCGCGUCACCUGGACGUAUGACACGAACACGGGAAAGAAAACAAAGGUCUACUCUAAGACCAAGAAGAUUGGCCAGAACAUAAGCACCAAGGCCGUGGGCAGCAAUGCCCGCCAGGAUGUCACCAACAAUUAUAAAUACCCAGAAGGUAAGGCAUGCAAAUUGAGACAGAAACUGGAAAUGUUGAGGGAUCUGGAUUAUUGCCAAGGAAAUGAGCACUUACCCAAGUUGUGAGGACAAGACUGGCCCAUCAGGAGAGCAAAGCAGAGGGAGGCUCACAUGGGUGGAGCCAGUAUUUUUGUUGGGGGCAGAACCUCAGUUAAAUAUUUUUAUGGAUUUACUUGAUGGAGGGGAGAUGCUCCCCUGCUGCCCCUUGGCUACACCCAUGGAGGCUCAGGUGUUUCUCAGAGCAUUUCCCAGAAGCUACUUUGGGCGCCCUGUCAGCAGAUUGGCCAGGGCAGGGAGGGCGGAACAUGGGUGGUAUUGCCCACCAAUGAGUGGGAGGGAGGGCAGGCAAAGAUUUUAAGUCCAUGCGCCACACCCAAGCCAGGCCUGAGCAAAGAGCCCCAUGGUCUGCCUGCCAGCCCUCAGGACCCCAGCUCUUCUGUGCCACCAGGCCUUGCACUGCUAGGAUGGCUGCGAGGCUGAGGCCCCAAGAGCCCCUGGCCUGGGGAAGGAGAGGGAAGGUGCCCUUCAUGCAACUGCUGGUCCCUAUGGCUCCUGCACUGGGGCCUAACAGCCCCGCUGGGCUUUGCCACCUGCUGUUUCUCUUCCAGGCUCAGAGAAGGAAAGAGCCGUCUUCAAAAAGGCCAGUGAGAAGCUGAACCUGAACACGUUCAAUGCCAUAUCUGCCAAGGGUCCGGAAGCUGUGAACCCAAACCUCUCAGGGACUCUGAAGUCCAAGAGCCCUGAGCCAAAGGUUGGUCAGGAUGUUGACUUGGUCUUCACCCUGAAGAACCUUGCCUCCAAGGCCAGGAGCCUGACGGCCAAGAUGACCGCCUGGUCCAUCGUCUACAAUGGGAAGCCCAUCCAUGAAGUCUGGAAGGACUCUCUCGCAGUGACUCUGGGCCCGCAAGAAGGUAAGCCUUUUGUGGGCUCCCCACAGCAAGGGGGCAGCCUCCAAUGCCCCCUCUUCCUCCUCCUUUGCCCACAAGCCACAGUCGGGCCUUCUGGAGAAGCCCCACUCGGGUGGGGGUGGUGGCAGAGGCACCUCUCAUAGGUCUCCCUCUUGGCUUGCUGGGGUGGGGGAUGGCGAGUUCCAGCGACCUCCUCAGAUCUUGGGGUGCAAGGAACUUCCACUGCUGGUGUGUGCUGACCUCUGUGCUUGGCCUGCCCCUUUUUCCACUUGCUCUACCCCAAGAGAUGGGGGGCUCCUCUUUUUGCACCCAUGGGCAAUGUUGGGGGGCAAGGGCCACGGAAGAGGGGGAUCAUUGCUCCCCAUAUCUGCCCCCAGCUAGCCAAGUUCCUGCCUUGGCAGCCCCUGACUGUUCUCCACCAAGGGCUAUGGGACUCACCUUCCCCUGAAGAAAGGGCAACGUUUUGGGGUUCUUCCUGGCAUCCGAGGGGAUUUUGAGCACCGCAAGAGCUUCCUCUGCACCGGCCGCUGAGCCACAAGGUGUUGCAACUAUGAUGCAGUGCAUGUGCAUGAGGCCGGGUGCCAAAUUAGGUCUCCCAUGGGUGCUGCUGAACUAUGGAAGACCAAAGUCUGCCCCUGCCGGCUUGCGUGACCCACAUCUCAUGGAAGGCCCUUUGGUUACUUGUCACUUUCAGAGAAAAAGUUUCCUCUCAAGAUCUCAUACGCUGAGUACCAGCAACACCUGACGCCAGACAACAUGAUUCGAGCCACAGCCUUGUGCCAACUCUCAGAGGGAACCGAAGCCGUGGUGGAAGGAGACAUCACGCUGAGCAACCCCUCCGUCACCUUGAAAGUAAGCCUUCCUCAGCUGCCUCUGUGCCCAGGAGAGGCUCCUGAGUGCCUCCCUGCCUUGAUGCCCACAGAACUGCCUCUCAAGUUUCUCUCUCUGCUUGCUGGGCAGUGCAUGGCCCUCCCAGGCAUGCCUUUGGAGGCCUGUGCCCUCCUGGCUUUGCCCCCUGGGAGGCCUGGGGAGUGGCCCUCCUACUCAAUGGGGGCUUUUCUCUGGGCAGGUGCUGGGACAGGCGAAAGUGGACCAGCCGCUGAAGGUGGAGGUGGUCUUCACCAACCCUCUCAAUGAAGAAGUGAAGGACUGUGUGCUGCAGGCAGAGGGCAGUGACUUGCUGGCAGAGAAGCUCAAGCUGGAGUAAGUGCCUGGGACAUCCAGACAGGGGGGGUGCCGUGUCCCCUCCCCAGGACUGGGGGUGGCUGCUGGGGUGCUCCCUUGUGGUGCUCCCACCUCCCAGUUCCUCAGCUGCACUUCCAGAGCAGGCAAAGUCGGGGCUCCAGUCUCCCGGGGGGGGGGGGUCUGGAAAGGGGUGCCCAGAAGGGACUCCUGUGUCUUCCUGGCCAUGUGGGGCUUCCUUUGCUCACUACCCAAAAGAGUCACAGCCCACUUUUCUAUCACCUUCCAAGGCAACUUUUCUAUGUGUACCAGGAAUUGUCAGUGACAGAGGCUGGGGCCCCUUUUGCUUCAGAGGUGUCUUUUAAUAGUUGAGAAAUUGCUUCAGGGAAUCGUGAGUGAGUGUGUGUGUGUGUGUGAGAGAGAGUGAGAGAGAGAGAGAGAGAGAGAGAGAGAGACAGAGAGAGAGAUUGAGAGCUGUGCACAGGCAGCCUCUGCUGCAGACAUGAGUUUCAGCCACCCUUUAGAAAUGUUUGCCCCCAACACCCCACUGCUCAAACUGCUCAUUUGUAACCCCCCCGGCUUGCCAACCACCCCAGGCAGUGCUUAGCACUGGUGCUGUCACUCACCCCACCUGGUGGCAGCUGUGUGGGGCUGGGGCUGGGUGUCCCCACUGCCUUUCAACACUCCAGCCAGGAACUGGCAAAGGCAGAGCUGGGCUGCUGUUUCUUUGGCACAUCCAAAGUCAGGAGGAGGCUGGGCAGCCAAUGGGGACAAACUACUCUGAGGAAGAAAAGUGAUCUUAGAAGAAAGACUUCAAGGAGGACCCUUCUAGAGAGGAAUUGGGACACUGGGUCCCUGCUUCCUAAUGAGCAAGCUUUGAUGGGAUGUGGAAGUAUUUUGUGGGGAGAGGGACCCGUGCUCCAAACUGAAGGUCCCACAAGCCACUUGUGUGCUCAGCUGGGACCAGGCUGGCUCCUCACCUGGCUGGCGUGGAUGUGGGAGCUCAUGGCUACCUUCAGCCUGAGCUGCUUAACUGGGGAACAUUUAGUUUGACCCUCAAAUCAGAAGAAGGAUAAAUUCCCAGGCAUACGCCCCCCCAAAUACCCUUCCUGCCAUCUGCUGCCACUGCCACAAGGUGAUGGGGCGAGGGAGGGGCCGUCCAGAGCUGCUCUUCCUAGGGUGGUCUGAGAGGGAGGUGAGGGGUAAUGGGAGACUGCUCAGCACCCACUGCCCGCCCCCCGAGUGGGUCCAUCAUGCUCAGCCAUCCAUCGUUUCUCCAGGCUCAGAGUCCCCCCACUGGCUGCACCUCAGGCUGUACCUUCUGGUCCACCUGAAUGAUCAUGGCAUGUCCAACCUGGACCCCGUUAGUCCCAACCCCCCUGCUCUGGUCCCUUUGGCAGCUGCCCUCCCAGCCGUGGGUCCUUCUGCAGGGGAAGCACCUGCUUCUGCCACUGUCCCCCCCCCAACUCAGAGUUAUUGUGCUUGAUCUAAUUAGCAGUGAAAAGCAAAUGAAGCAGCAGCCUGGCCUGCGCAUGGGAACCCAGCAGCGAGAGGGAGACCCCGCCUGGUGGGCAGGGCCUGGGAGAGCCUCUGGCUUGGGGGCUGCUGCUGCAGGAGCUAGCCCUGGAGUCCUGAAGGGCAGAGGAGGGCCAGGCAGCCCCCAUGCCAGGCCCACAGCUCCUCCUGAGCAUCAGCUGACUGGCUCCUUUUGCUCCUUGUUUGCAGCGCGCCACCCCUGCAGGCCAAGCAGAGCACCCGCCUCGAGUUCGAGGUCAAGCCCAGCAAGAGUGGGACGAAGCAGCUGCUGGUUAAUUUCUCCUGUGACAAAUUUCAAGACAUCAAAGCCUUUGAGCCCAUUAAUGUCUCUGCCUGAGCAUGACUAGCCAUGGAGCAGCCUGCCAGGAGGAUGGAGCCAAGCAGUGGAAUGGGGAGCCUGAGCACAGCGGGGCCUCAGCCCCAUUGUUUUCAUGUGCAUUUUAAUACAAGUUUUCUUCUUAUA